UUAGUUAAUUUUUUUUAAAAAUAUUUUUUAUUUUGGAUUAAAUAAAUAAUUACUUUUUUUAGUAUUUUUUUGAAUAAAUAUUGUUUUAAUAAUUUACUGUGGAGGAAUAAUGAUAUUAUGAAUAAAGUAUUUUUUGUUUAAAGUACCUUUUGCAUCAGGGUUUAUCAAAAUAAAUAAAUUAUUUUGUUUUCUCGAAGUUUUAAGAUUUAAAAAUAAAUGUUUUUUUUUGUGUCAAAAAAAUUUAUAAUUUGUUUUUGGAAGUUAUAUGCUUUUCAUUUAAAAUAAUAUCUAGUUUACUAAUAAAUGAAUUUAAUUCAACUUAAAUUAGUUUUUUUUUAAUUUUAUUAAUUAAAAUUUUUUAAGUUAAUAUUUUUGGGGAUAAUCUCAAUUUUAUUUUUAAAAAUAAUUUAAAAUAAGAUUUUUUGUAGGAUUGAAAAUUUCUAUAUUAUUUUGUUAUAAUUACUUUUUUUUAUUAAAUGAUUUUUUUUGUUUUAAUUUUUUAUUAGUAUUUUUUAAUAAAUUUAUUAUUUUAUUAAUAAUGAUAAAAUUAGUAAUUUUUGUAAAUUUAAAUUUAGGAACUCGGCAAUAUUUAUUUUCACCUGUUUAACAAAAACAUGGUUUUUAGAUUUUUAUUUAAGAUCGGGCCUGCCCAUUGAUUUUAAAAAUUAAAAGGCUGCGGUAUUUUAACUGUACGAAGGUAGCAUAAUCAUUUGUCUUUUAAUUGAAGGCUUGAAUGAAUGGUUUGAUGAAAAAUAAACUUUCUUAUUUUAAUAUAUUUGAAUUUAAUAUUUUAGUUAAAAAGCUGAAAUUUUUUUAUAGGACGAGAAGACCCUAUAGAAGUUAACUUUAUAUAUAAUUUUAUAUUUUUGGUUAAUAAAAUGUUUAUUUAGAAUAUAAAGUUUUGUUGGGGUGACAUUAAAAUUUUUUAAACUUUUAAUUAUUUUUAUUCAUAGAUUUAUGUUAUAAUGAUCCAGAAUUUUUGAUUAAGAGAUCAACUUACCUUAGGGAUAACAGCGUAAUCUAUACGGAGAGUUCAUAUCGAUGUAUAGGUUUGCGACCUCGAUGUUGAAUUAAGAUUAGGUUUGGGUGCAAAAUUUCAUUUACCUUGGUCUGUUCGACCAUUAAAUUCUUACAUGAUUUGAGUUCAGACCGGCGUGAGCCAGGUCGGUUUCUAUCCUUAUUUAUAUUGUAAGUUAGUACGAAAGGACCAUUUACAUUAAUUAAAUUAUUGUUUUUGAUUAAAAUUA
rnacentral:rRNA from 1 species